rnacentral:rRNA from 1 species
CUCCGGUGAUNCCUGCCGGACCUGACUGCUAUCGGAUUGGUACUAAGCCAUGCGAGUCGUUGUAGCAAUACAAGGCGGACGGCUCAGUAACACGUAGUCAACCUAACCUAUGGACGUGGAUAACCUCGGGAAACUGAGAAUAAACCGCGAUAGAUCAUUAUGCCUGGAAUGGCUUAUGGUUCAAACAAUUUAUUGCCGUAGGAUGGGACUGCGGCCUAUCAGCUUGUUGGUGAGGUAAUGGCCCACCAAGGCUAUAACAGGUACGGGCUCUGAGAGGAGAAGCCCGGAGAUGGGUACUGAGACACGGACCCAGGCCCUAUGGGGCGCAGCAGGCGAGAAACCUUAGCAAUGUGCGAAAGCACGACUAGGUUAAUCCGAGUGAUUUCUGUUGAAGAAAUCUUUUGUCAGUCGUAAAACCACAGACGAAUAAGGGGUGGGCAAGUCUGGUGUCAGCCGCCGCGGUAAUACCAGCACCUCGAGUGGUCAGGAGGUUUAUUGGGCCUAAAGCAUCCGUAGCCGGCUACGCAAGUCUCCGGUUAAAUCCAGCUGCUCAACAGAUGGGCUGCCGGAGAUACUACAUAGCUAGGGAGCGGGAGAGGUAGACGGUAUUCUGUGGGUAGGGGUAAAAUCCACUGAUCCAUAGAGGACCACCAGUGGCGAAGGCGGUCUACCAGAACGCGUUCGACGGUGAGGGAUGAAAGCUGGGGGAGCAAACCGGAUUAGAUACCCGGGUAGUCCCAGCUGUAAACGAUGCAAACUCGGUGAUGCAUUGGCUUAUGGCCAAUGCAGUGCCGCAGGGAAGCCGUUAAGUUUGCCGCCUGGGAAGUACGGACGCAAGUCUGAAACUUAAAGGAUUUGGCGGGGGAGCA